CACACACUGAGAAUUUGAAAUUACACACUGAGAAUUUAAAAUUACACACUGAGAUUUGUGCGCACUUUUUAUGCGCACAUAUCUGAUAAGCAUACUUAAUCUGAAUCUAUUACAAGCUUAAAACAACUAGGGGACAGAACUCGUUAGUACUUCGAUUUUGUUCCAAAUUAUUUAUAAAAAAACUUUAGAAAUACAAGAACAAGAAAAAUACCCAC
rnacentral:lncRNA from 1 species